CAAUAGCGUAUAUUAAAGUUGUUGCGGUUAAAAAGCUCGUAGUUGGAUUUCUGCUGAGAACGACCGGUCCGCCCUUUGGGUGUGUAUCUGGCUCUUUCUUGGCAUCUUCUUGGUGAACGUUGCUGCACUUGACUGUGUGGAGCGCUACCCAGGACUUUUACUUUGAGGAAAUUAGAGUGUUUCAAGCAGGCAAUCGCUUGAAUACAUUAGCAUGGAAUAAUAAGAUAGGACUUUGGUACUAUUUUGUUGGUUUGCAUACCAAAUUAAUGAUCAACAGGAACAGUUUGAGGAUAUUCGUAUGAACAUGUCAGAGGUGAAAUUCUUGGAUUUUGAUCAGACGAACUACUGCGAAAGCAUUUAUCAAGGAUGUUUUCAUUAA
rnacentral:rRNA from 1 species